CCGCGUUCCCAGGGUGUCCUUGCCCUCCAUGUCUAUGGAGACCCUAGUGUGUCUCUAGGGCUCCGCGAAAGUGGCUGCUGUCUCCAGGUCCCUCUGUCCCCACCUGUGUGUGGGGGGUGGUCCCAGAAGGUCCCUGAUGGCACCGCGCUUUACAGUACGUAGAGUGCAUCUUCGUGUCACCAUUCCUGCCGCUAUCAAGCUCUUCAGAACAAUCAAAAACCGAGGUAGCGGAGUCAGACGACUGGUCCAGGUCUGGCUGGACCGCGGGGGCCUAGACAGGCUGAGAGCCAGGUGCGCCUCCGGUCACGUGCAGAAGAGGGCGCCAAGGGCCCGCCACCGGACCAGGCGUCCGGAUCUACCCACCUCCGCGGCUCGGGUGAGGCUCCAGCCCGAAGCUUCGUAGCCUCCUGGAGGAGGAGAGGAGCGCGGAGAGGAACUGGGCCCGGGGUGUCCGGGAGGAGUGGCGGGGAGAGGAGAAGAAAGGUCUGAACUCAAGAUUUCAAUUCCGAAAGCUCAGCUGCCUCUCCUAGCUGUGUGACCUCUGAUGUGAGGUCUGACCUCUCUGCGCUUUAUCUGUAAUUAUGGAAAUAAAAUUCCCGCCCCCCGCCACCACUUUAGCCCAGCCCGCCAAAGACUCCUAAGCGCACAAAUGAGGUGGUUGAUUCAGGCUCGCUGUGCAAACGCUAAAGCCCCAUUCACAGCCUUCGCUCCGGCCGGAGGGUGCUAGAAGUCGCCUCCAACUUCUGCAGACUCGGGGAGCUCGGGAAGCCAGAACAGCUCGAGAAGCCAAAGAACCCGAAUGCUCUGGCCGACCCACCCCGUUCCCGCCUGGUGGCAUAGCCGGGGCUCAGAGAGGUUAGGGAGCCAUCCCCAGGCGGCACAGCAGGCCAAGGACGCCUCCCAUGACAGCUUCAGCGCGGGAUGCCUCCUCGAGUGGAGAAGAGCAGGUCUGCCGGGGCUAAGGGGCCUCUCCCCUCACCCUCACUCUUCAGUCUCCAUCGCGGGCCCUCACCGACCCUGGUCCUACAAACUGAGUCCUUGCCCGCCUCCUCCUUGCAGCCCUCUCGCUGCGCGGAGUUCAGCCCCGUCUACACCGCCAGAACUGGAGAGCCGAGCCGGAGAAAAGCAAAUUCAACCCGAGGGACCUCAGUCGAGGUGCGGGUGUCGGGCAGGUCCCCUGCCGCCGGGCUUCUCCGCACCCAGUCCUCUCGCCUCGGCGUCUCCCUCCGACCCUGUCCCGGGCCUCCACCUUCCUGACCUCUCCUGUCUGUCCGGGCUUCUGCGUAUCCCUCUCCCUGUCUCUUCCCUACGUUCCGACCUUGAGUACCGUGAUUACUGGUUCCACACCGGCUGGCUGAGCCACUUUCUCUGUCCCUGCAUCCGAUCUCUGCCUCCCCAUGAAGCUGCCCCUCCCACCCCGGCGAAGGAACACACACCGGCAGAAUCCGCCUUUUCAAUAAAAAACUACAACUGGGAAACAGUGAAUUAAAAAGCAUUAACUUAAAAACAAU
rnacentral:lncRNA from 1 species